rnacentral:lncRNA from 1 species
AGAGAAUCAACUUAUGCUUCAAAAACCACGUGUUGUAAAUUGAUGCAUCGACACAGGCAACACUAGGAACCUUAUUUAAUGCUUGAAUGACCAAGUAAAAUAAAGCCCCAUACUAAUUAACAAACUAGCGAACUAGUAACUUACUAGUAGGAGUGGCAAAGGGAGAAGAAGAAGAAGAUGAAGCGGCGAUGGUCGAAGACGAAGAUCGUCGUCGAUUGCAGUAAAGCAUGUCGAAGAAUCGAUGAAUUUGGCUUUGGAAAGGGUUCUGUUAAUUUCCCGAUUACUACUUCGGAGAUGCAAUUCGGGGUGACAGAUCGGACGACGAUGGUGGGUUUUACUACGGAGUGAA